ensembl:snRNA U6 U6 spliceosomal RNA
GUGUUGGCUUCGGCAGCACAUAUACUAAAUUGGAAUGAUACAGAGAAGAGAGAUUUGCAUGGCCCCUGCGUAAGGCUGUCCAGCAAAUCCUGUGACGCGUUCCACAUUUAA